AUGUCCUUAGAAGAAGAGAUCAAGACACACAUAUGCACAUGAACGGAAGAAAGACCACAUGAGGACACAGGGAGAAGAUGGCUAUCUACAAGCCAAGGAGAGAGGCCUCAGAGGGAACCAACCCUGCCCAAACCUUGAUCUUGGACUUCUAGCCUCCAGAACUGGCUGUCAAUUGGACCCACCGAUUACCUGCAGGAUGAGAAGGAUCAUUUACUACAACUUCCUACGCCCUCAUGGGAUCUCAGCGUUGUCCGUCACCCAUCACCGCUGCAGUUUCAUUCCAUUAUGGUCAGAAAAGAUGGCUGGGAUCAUUUCAGAUGAAUGGAUAAAGAAAAUGAGGUCUGUUCCUACCAUGGAAUAUUACUCAGCCUUUAAGAAGAAGGAAAUCCUGCCGUUUGAGACUUGGAUGA